ensembl:lncRNA
AUGUUCCAGAAGGAAGGGACCUGCACAGUCGCACUGCAGAGUGGUGACAGGAAGCCCAGCCCCCCUUGGUCCUGCCAGAACUCUGACCAGAGCAAGCUGAGUGCCCUGGGAAGAUCCUCUUCCCACAGAAGAGGAACGGAGGCCCUGGCCUCAGCCCAGCCCACAGCGAGCCAGGACCCAGUGGCCUGGGGCAUGGGUGGCAGGCUCGGAGACGGAGAGCUUACUGCGUCAGCGCAUCCUUGCCCCCUGAGUCCUUUCAGGGGCGUCUCCUUAGCUGAGUUGUCCAGCGGGAGGCUGGCAGGGCAGACCAAGAGGCUGCGAGGAUGGAGCCCGGCUGGGGCAUGGAGAUCAAAGCCACCGCUCGCUCAGCUUGGAGUUUGUUCCAGUCACUGGGUUCACAAGCCCCCCCUGUGUGCCAGCUCAUAAAACCGGCAGCAGAUGACAUGUCAGCAGGUGAACACAUACACACACACAUACGCACGCACGUCAGAAACUCCACCCAGGCCAGGAUGGUGUUCAGAUCCGAUGUCUUAACUGAGAACCAGGUGAGCUGGGCUCUAGUGCUGAAUCUCUCUGGCCGCCUGGAUGGUAGUUUGUGCUAAUAACCCUCCAAGGUCCUUUUCAAUUCAAACAUCCUGUGAUUCUGAAGAAAAGUGAAUCAAGAGGGCUUCGGCAUGUACACAUGGCCACUUUGGCCUCCACAGGUUAAGGGGUCUGAAUUGCGGCAGAGCCCUUAUGCACUUUUCCCCACUUAGUGACCUUAAUCCCUGGUGCUCUCUUUUCAUUCAAGUUGCUGAUUGUGGCUCCAUCUCUUUGCGUGUCCCUUUCACAACCCCUCCCUCCUCAGAGCCACCUGCGUGCUCAUACCAUGGGGUCAUCAUGUAGGACCUGCUGACCAUCUGCUCUCUUGUAGCUGGUCCCACCUUCCCGGAUAGGCACGUGCACAUUAUUUGACACGUUUCUGCAGGACAUGUUUUACAUGCUUGCGUGAGUGCGUGUGUGCAUGUGUACUAAGUCUCUUCAGUCAUGUCUGACUCUUUGCAAUCCUAUGGACAGUACCCCGCCAGGCCUCUCUGUCCAUGGGGAUUCUCCAGGCAAGAAUACUGGAGUGGGUUGCAUGCCGUCUUCCAGGGAUCAAACCCAGGUCUCCUGCAUUGACAGGCAGAUCCUUUACCACUAGCACCACCCAGGAAGCCUGUGUCAUACAUUAACUAAAUCAGUAUGUCACAGCAUGUUUCACAACAGUCGUUCAUGUGUGCACAUGUGCACAUGUCCCGGAUGCUGAAGCUGAAACUCCAAUACUUUGGCCACCUGCUGCGAAGAACUGACUCAUUGGAAAAGACCCUGAUGCUGGGAAAGAUUUAGGGCAGGAGGAGAAGGGGACGGCAGAGGAUGAAGUGGUUGGGUGGCAUCACUGACUCAAUGGACAUGAUUUUGAGCUAGCUCCAGGAGUUGAUGAUGAACAGGGAGGCCUGGCGUGCUGCAGUCCAUGGGGUAGCAAAGAGUCGGACGCAACUGAGUGACUGGACUGAACUGAACUGAUAUGUCUGUUUCCUGGCUUCCUUGAAAUUGUAGAUUUAAAAAUUCACAGGCAUUGAUCCUCCUGGACUCUCACCCCUUUGCAGAAGGUGCCCAAAAAGCAUAGGUGGCGACAUGGACAUAAGCCUGCUCUCCUCUCCUUUCUAUUUCCCUCCAGCAUGGGUCAGUUAUCUUCCUUCCUGCCCACCUCUGCAGGAAGAUUGUUCAGUCUUGAAAGUUCUCACCUGAUUUGCAACCUCCUCCUGCCCCUCAGUGAUUCUGAAUGUCUUGUUUCCUAAACCACCCAUCCAGGAAGUGGGUGCUAGUUUGGGGAGAAGUAGGUUCUAGCUCUCAUGGUUUGUAAGAGGUCUGGAGCUUUAGAGGGAGCCCUGCAGAGCUCUGACCCAAACCCAGCUCUCUCUGGAGGUCUCUGCAGGCUGGAGUCAGGACUCAUAGUCCCAAUGUGGCUCCUCUGGAAACUGAGAAGGAUGCAGAAGUGUGUCCAGAGCCUUCCUGGGGCAAUGCCUCUGGUCCUGCUGGCCUGGUUUCCUGGAGCCUUUUUUUCCUCCCUCUCUUCUUAUCCAGACCCCAAGGCCUCUUCCCUCCACAGCCAGAACCCUCUGCUCUGUCAUCUCCCUCUAUCUGUUCUCACCCACCUUACCUGAUCAGGGGUACGCUGCCUGCAGACCCGGAAGUCACCCAGGAACGAAGCCACUGAAGUGUGUGCCUCUCGCAAAGGACCUUCCAAAUGUGCCCGAGAACGCCUGGCUUCUGGAAGAGAAGCUGAUGUGUAAUCAGAACAGCUGUGCUCCAGCUUCUGUUCGACCAGAAAUCACGGUGGGACCUCGGCCAAGUCACUUAACCUUCUUAGUGUCCUGAUCUGCAAAACUAAGCACUUGAGUUUUUAAGAUCUCCUGUUCCUUUCAACCCUCUCUGCUACCCCAGGAAACCCCUCUCAACUUCCACAUGCAGAGAGAAUAGAAGUCAGAAGGGACCCCUUUUCAGAAAAGGCUCUUGUGUCUCAGGUGAGAUCUGACUCUGAAUCCCAGGGCCAGAUGCUCCACUGAGCAGAGAGCAGAGAGGAGAGGGAGGCAGAACAUGGGGACACAUGGCUUCUGAUCACCCUUAGCCUGAUCUGUGGCAGGAUUCUGUGGUCUUGAGUGGGGAGAAGGUGAAGCUCUCCCAACUCCAGGACUCCCAGGGCUGUGGACAGCCAGAGGUGGGGCUGGGGGCCAGGUGUAUGGUUCUUCUGACCUCUCUGCUCUGAGCAGAGUCCCAGAGAUGCUGGGCUCGGGGUGUAUGGGAAAAGGAGCCACGAAACCAAUAAGUUUCGAGGAAACAGCUCUUGUUUGGGGCCCAAAAGGUGGUAUCUAGCCAAUAUCUCUGAUCAGAUCAUUGCUAUUAAAAACCCAAGCCCAUGAGUGAUUGAGAUUGACACAUACACAUUGAGUGAGUGAGUGAAGUCGCUCAGUCAUGUCCAACUCUUUGUCACCCCAUGGACUGUAGCCUACCAGGCUCCUCCAUCCAUGGGAUUUUCCAGGCAAGAGUACUAGAGUGGGUUGCCAUUUCCUUCUCCAGGAGAUCUUCACGACGCAGGGAUUGAACCCAGGUCUCCCGCACUGUAGGCAGACGCUUUACCAUGUGAGCCACCAGGAAAGUUGCUACUACGUAUAAAAUAGAUAAUGAAUAAGAACCUACUGUAUAGCACAGGGAAUUCUACUCAAUACUCUGUAAUGACCUACGUGGAAAAGAAGCUAAAAAACAGUGGAUAUAUAUAUAUCUAUGGGCUUCCCAGGUGGUUCAGUGGGCAAAGAAUCUGCCUUCAAUGCAGGAGCCACAAGAGUCGCAAGUUGGAUCCCUGGGUUGGGAAGAUCCUCUGGGGAAGGGCAUGGCGACACACUCCAGUAUUCUUGCCUGGAAAAUCCCAUGGACAGAGGAGCCUGGCAGGGUGCAGUCCAUGGGGUCGCCGAGUUGUACACGACAAGCGACGGAGCACACACACACACGUAUAGCCGAUUCACUUUGCUGUACAACAGAAACAAACACAACACUGUAAAUCAACUAUAUUUCAAUAAAAAUUGUUUAAAAAGACAAUAAAAACCCAAGCCUAAAGCAAAACCCUUUCCUUUACCAGAAACAGUAGCCUUUUCCCGCAGUCCUUCAGGGGCACAUUUUAUUGGCAAAUCUUCCCCCAACUUGUCCCCACCUGCACUUUUUGGUCUCUUUCUCUCCCCACCCAAAAGCAAACCCAGGGAAACAGCAAAUACGGUGAUGAUAAGAACUCUAGAUUCUAUUUGUUUAGCGUGAUCACGCACCCAAACACCCUACCACCUGUAUCUUUUUCACUUUCAUGAAAGUGAAGUUGUUCCAUCAUGUCCAACUCUUUGCAACCCCAUGGACUGUGGCCCACCAGGUUCCUCCAUCCAUGGAAUUUUCUAGGCAAGAGGAUUGGCGUGGGUUGCCAUUUCCUUUUCCAUCUGUCAGAAAAACCAAGCAAAAUGCCAGACUGGUUGUAAAAGUAGGGACCGCAGUUGAAGACGGGGGAGGAACAGUGGGAGCAGGCGGGCACUCUGUUGUCUGAGUCGGGACAGGUAUGGAGGGAGGGCCCUGGGGACCAGUGGCUGAAGACCCCACCCAAAAGGCAGGCCUGACCUGGGGGGAGGGAGCCCUGGGCCUCCUCUUCACCCCUUGAUGGAGAGGCAGUCAGGAGACGGGGUGGGGCUCCCCUUAGGGACUGCAGGGCAGCACCUGGCAGGGGCACUAGGAACUGGGCAGAUUCUAAGGCAAAUACUUGAGUGACCCAGGGAGGGGGGUAGGGGCAGGGCGCAGUGGGAGGCUAAGAGAAAGAGGGAGAGGCCAGACCAGGGGCCCGGAGGUAGCCAGCGGCUACUAUGGAUGGAUGGAAGCCAAACCAUGCCUUGUCUAGACAGACGGCUCUUGAGCAAUUCUGACCCUCCAUAGGCAGGUCCCCUGGUCAGGCCACAGCAAUAAGAAGAACUAGAAAACAGAGAAAAUGACUCUCACCACCUCACCUUCCUCCAUUCCCCUGCCCAAAUGCCUAGGCUUCAAGGACCCAGUGGCCUGAGUGGGUAGAGCCCCACUGGCCCCGCCCUAGAGGGUGGCCAUGGGCUCUGCAUCAGCGCAUGUGAGAAAGGAUCCAGACUGGUGGACUACAGUCCACGGCGUGGCAAAGAGUCAAAGACGACAAGUGACGAGGCACGCACACACACAUACGUAGAACUGAUUCACUUCGCUGCUCAGCAGAAACUAACACAACAUUGUAAAUCAACUGUAUUCCAAUAACAGUUUUUAAAAAAGAGCAGUAGAAAACCCAAGCCUAAAGCCAAACCCUUUCCUUUACUGAAAAUGGUAGCCUUCCCAGCAGUCCUUCAGGGGCACAUUUUAUUGGCAAUCUCCUCCCAGUUUGGCGUCCGCUAGAGGCCCUGGCAGAGUAUCCAGUGAGCUCCUGAUACAAUCAGUUCACAGGCCAGGGGGCAUCAGUCUAGCAUCAGCAGGCUGCCCUGGGGGCAGUUCUCAGGCCACUGGUUCCCUCCCUGGCUCCUCCCCACUUCUCUAGGACAGGCUGAUUUCCAGCUCCAAGAGCUAAAUCUGAUGCGUCCCCAAGCUACAGGAAAAAGUCCAGAAACCAGCAGGCAGUC